rnacentral:rRNA from 1 species
GACGAACGCUGGCGGCGUGCCUAAUACAUGCAAGUUGAGCGCUGAAGGUUGGUACUUGUACCAACUGGAUGAGCAGCGAACGGGUGAGUAACGCGUGGGGAAUCUGCCUUUGAGCGGGGGACAACAUUUGGAAACGAAUGCUAAUACCGCAUAAAAACUUUAAACACAAGUUUUAAGUUUGAAAGAUGCAAUUGCAUCACUCAAAGAUGAUCCCGCGUUGUAUUAGCUAGUUGGUGAGGUAAAGGCUCACCAAGGCGAUGAUACAUAGCCGACCUGAGAGGGUGAUCGGCCACAUUGGGAGUGAGACACGGCCCAAACUCCUACGGGAGGCAGCAGUAGGGAAUCGUCGGCAAUGGACGAAAGUCUGACCGAGCAACGCCGCGUGAGUGAAGAAGGUUGUCGGAUCGUAAAACUCUGUUGGUAGAGAAGAACGUUGGUGAGAGUGGAAAGCUCAUCAAGUGACGGUAACUACCCAGAAAGGGACGGCUAACUACGUG